CCUUGUCCUAUUGCUAACUGCCUGGGAGAAGAGACCAAUCCCCACCUGGCUAUAACUUCCCUUCAGGUAGUUCUAGAGAGUGAUGAGGUCACCUCUAAGCCUCCUCUUCUCUAGACUAAACAACCCCAGCUCCCUCAGCCUCUCCUCAUAGGUCUUAUGUUCAAGUCCCUUCACCAGUCGUGUUGCUCUUCUCUGGACCCGCUCCAGCACUUCAAUGUCUUUCCUGAACUGAGGGACCCAGAACUGAACACAAUACUCCAGGUGUGGCCUCACCAAUGCAGAGUACAGGGGAAGGAUCACUUCCCUUGUCCUGCUGACCACGCUGUUUUUGAUACAGGACAGGAUACCGCUGGCCUUCUUGGCCACCUGGGCACACUGUUGGCUCAUGUUGAGCUUCCUGUCAAUUAGCACCCCCAGGUCCCUUUCUGUCUGACUGCUCUUCAGCCACUCUGCGCCCAGCCUGUAGCGCUGCAGGGGGUUGUUGUGACCAAAGUGCAGCACCCGGCAUUUGGCCUUAUUGAACUUCAUCCCAUUGGAAUCAGCCCAUUUUUCCAGUCUAUCCAGAUCCCUCUGCAGAGCCCUCCUGCCUUCUAGCAGGUCGACACUCCCUCCCAACUUGGUGUCAACUUGGUGUUCCCUGUCCUCAAGAACAGAACCCCCAAGGGCUCUUCCCUCUGCCCCACUCCCGGUGGGAAGAAGGACUCUCAGCACCCCUGGGACCACUCUGCCUGUGUCUGUCUCUCAGCCUCAGCCCAACAGGUCUACUGGCUGGGGGGCAGGAGUGGCCUGCGGGGAAAGGGAAACCUGGGUUACUGGGAGGAGGGACUGGUCCAGCCAGCUCAGGGUGGGGUGCAGACAGUGACAUGCUCACACCCUUGUGCUCUCUCUAGCUGGAGCAGAACAGGAGCAGGGCUCAAGAGUUCUUGAGUCAGAGCCUGCCAUACCUGAGGGAUGCUCAGGCCAGCUUGCGAGAGGUGGCCAUGAGGUUCAUCGGUGAGUCACAGCCCCAGGGUCCCUCUCUUGGCAGCCUGGCCCCAGUCCCCACUGCUGCUCUGGCACAAGGAGCAGCCCUGUGGCUUCAGAGCCCCAGCUGCCCCGUGCAGGGCCUUGGCCUCCCCUCCCAGCCCUGCCCACACAGGUGGGCUUGGUGGCUGCCUUGCUCAGUCCCGCUAUGUCAGCUCUGGGGUAUCCCCUGGGGCCAGCUCUGAUGAGGGGGAGGGAACAGGAGUCUGAUGGAACUCUGUGCCCAGGGCUGGCUGCGCGGCCCCUGAGGGACCAAAAGGAGGAGGAGAAGCUGGCUGAGAUCUGCAGUGCCCUUCGGCCCUUGGAGAAGGACAGUAAAUCCUUCGUCCGCUCCCUCGCUGCUCAGACCAUUGUCAUCCUGAGCAGUCCAAGGGAGCAGCCACGAUCACGAUGGGCCCUGCAAGCCCUGUGCUGCUGGCGUCACUGACCCAGGUGGAGGAGCAGCUCUGCUUGCGGAAAAAUGGCUGGAUUUUAAUAAAGAGCCCUUCUUGAAGUUGGGUUGGAUGUCUGGCUUUUCCAAGGACCCCAGAACCUCUCUGAUUGCUGUGGCACUUUUGACAGCACAGCCCGGCAUCAUGGGCAAGGGUGACGUAGCAGACAGGAGCACUUGCAAUGAGGUUGUCCAGGGCAGCUGAGAUGGAUCUCACUGGGCCAGUGGGGUUUGUUCCUGGAUUCACACACAGAAAUGUCAGGGUCUGUCAGGCAUCCACAUCUAAGCUGGCAUCCUGGACUCCUUCUGCACCCAGGGAUGUUCAGAGACAGAGUCUGUCCCUUUUACACACAGAGGCAGGAGUUACAGUGUCUGUCUGGCCUUCUGUUGCCACUUCCAAGGGAUGGGAGGCACCUCAGCCCUGUGGUGUGUCACCCUGCUCGGCACUCAUCUGAGAUGUCCCACGCCAUGAGGAAUGGACAUGGGGACAUUGGUUAAAGGAACCACAACCCAGUGCUGAUUUUAGGCAGUUUGCAUGGGAUCUUACUCCCAACUUAUCAGACUUUCUUAGCUAACAUAGUAAUAAAUCUAAACACGAGCUUC